CCUACGGGCGGCUGCAGUGAGGAAUAUUCCGCAAUGGACGGAAGUCUGACGGAGCGACGCCGCGUGGAUGAAGAAGGCCGAAAGGUUGUAAAGUUCUUUUGCUAGGGGAGAAUAAGUGUGGGAGGGAAUGCCUGCACGAUGACAAGGACUAGCGAAUAAGUCCCGGCCAACUACGUGCCAGCAGCCGCGGUAACACGUAGGGGGCGAGCGUUGUUCGGAAUUACUGGGCGUAAAGGGCAUGUAGGCGGCUUGGUAAGCCUGGCGUGAAAGUCUGCAGCUUAACUGUAGGGAUGCGUUGGGAACUGCUUAGCUUGAGUUACGGAGAGGGAGCUGGAAUUCCUGGUGUAGGGGUGAAAUCUGUAGAUAUCAGGAAGAACACCGAUGGCGAAGGCAAGCUUCUGGCCGACAACUGACGCUGAGGUGCGAAAGUGUGGGGAUCAAACAGGAUUAGAUACCCCGGUAGUC
rnacentral:rRNA from 1 species